AUUGAACGCUGGCGGCAUGCUUUACACAUGCAAGUCGAACGGUAACAGGUUAAGCUGACGAGUGGCGAACGGGUGAGUAAUGCAUCGGAACGUGCCCGAUCGUGGGGGAUAACGCAGCGAAAGCUGCGCUAAUACCGCAUACGAUCCGAGGAUGAAAGCGGGGGACCGUAAGGCCUCGCGCGAUCGGAGCGGCCGAUGUCAGAUUAGGUAGUUGGUGGGGUAAAGGCUCACCAAGCCAACGAUCUGUAGCUGGUCUGAGAGGACGACCAGCCACACUGGGACUGAGACACGGCCCAGACUCCUACGGGAGGCAGCAGUGGGGAAUUUUGGACAAUGGGCGAAAGCCUGAUCCAGCAAUGCCGCGUGCAGGAAGAAGGCCUUCGGGUUGUAAACUGCUUUUGUACGGAGCGAAAAAGCUCUCUCUAAUACAGGGGGCUCAUGACAGUACCGUAAGAAUAAGCACCGGCUAACUACGUGCCAGCCGCCGCUGUAAUAC
rnacentral:rRNA from 1 species